rnacentral:rasiRNA from 1 species
AGCGAUGAUACCGAAGAACGGGAAAU